rnacentral:rRNA from 1 species
CUCUGGGACGCGGAGGGACAUUACCGAGUUAUACAACUCAUCAACCCUGUGAACAUACCUAAACGUUGCUUCGGCGGGAACAGACGGCCCCGUAACACGGGCCGCCCCCGCCAGAGGAACCCCUAACUCUGUUUCUAUAAUGUUUCUUCUGAGUAAAACAAGCAAAUAAAUUAAAACUUUCAACAACGGAUCUCUUGGCUCUGGCAUCGAUGAAGAACGCAGCGAAAUGCGAUAAGUAAUGUGAAUUGCAGAAUUCAGUGAAUCAUCGAAUCUUUGAACGCACAUUGCGCCCGCCAGUAUUCUGGCGGGCAUGCCUGUUCGAGCGUCAUUACAACCCUCAGGCCCCCGGGCCUGGCGUUGGGGAUCGGCGGAGCCCCCCGCGGGCACACGCCGUCCCCCAAAUACAGUGGCGGUCCCGCCGCAGCUUCCAUUGCGUAGUAGCUAACACCUCGCAACUGGAGAGCGGCGCGGCCACGCCGUAAAACCCCCAACUUCUGAACGUUGACCUCGAAUCAGGUAGGAAUACCCGCUGAACUUAAGCAUAUCAAUAAGCGGAGGAAAAGAAACCAACAGGGAUUGCCCUAGUAACGGCGAGUGAAGCGGCAACAGCUCAAAUUUGAAAUCUGGCUCUCGGGCCCGAGUUGUAAUUUGUAGAGGAUGCUUUUGGUGAGGUGCCUUCCGAGUUCCCUGGAACGGGACGCCACAGAGGGUGAGAGCCCCGUCUGGUUGGACACCGAUCCUCUGUAAAGCUCCUUCGACGAGUCGAGUAGUUUGGGAAUGCUGCUCUAAAUGGGAGGUAUAUGUCUUCUAAAGCUAAAUACCGGCCAGAGACCGAUAGCGCACAAGUAGAGUGAUCGAAAGAUGAAAAGAACUUUGAAAAGAGAGUUAAAAAGUACGUGAAAUUGUUGAAAGGGAAGCGCUUGUGACCAGACUUGGGCUUGGUUGAUCAUCCAGGGUUCUCCCUGGUGCACUCUUCCGGCCCAGGCCAGCAUCAGUUCGCCCCGGGGGAAAAAGGCUUCGGGAAUGUGGCUCUCUCCGGGGAGUGUUAUAGCCCGUUGCGUAAUACCCUGUGGCGGACUGAGGUUCGCGCAUCGCAAGGAUGCUGCGUACUGCC